rnacentral:rRNA from 1 species
UACGUAGGGUGCAAGCGUUGUCCGGAAUUAUUGGGCGUAAAGAGCUCGUAGGCGGUCUGUCGCGUCUGCUGUGAAAACUCGGGGCUUAACCCCGGGCCUGCAGUGGGUACGGGCAGACUAGAGUGCGGUAGGGGAGACUGGAAUUCCUGGUGUAGCGGUGAAAUGCGCAGAUAUCUGAAGGAACACCAGUGGCGAAAGCGGCUUCCUGGUCCAGCACCGACGUUCAGGCACGAAAGCGUGGGGAGCAAACAGG